UGAGGCAACAGAACUCCGCCACAGUGUCUU
rnacentral:piRNA from 1 species